GUCGAGCGGACAGAAGGGAGCUUGCUCCCGGAUGUUAGCGGCGGACGGGUGAGUAACACGUGGGUAACCUGCCUGUAAGACUGGGAUAACUCCGGGAAACCGGAGCUAAUACCGGAUAGUUCCUUGAACCGCAUGGUUCAAGGAUGAAAGACGGUUUCGGCUGUCACUUACAGAUGGACCCGCGGCGCAUUAGCUAGUUGGUGGGGUAAUGGCUCACCAAGGCGACGAUGCGUAGCCGACCUGAGAGGGUGAUCGGCCACACUGGGACUGNNNCACGGCCCAGACUCCUACGGGAGGCA
rnacentral:rRNA from 1 species